UCAACGUGGUUACCCCGGGAGGUCACUCUCCCCGGGAUCUGCCCUAGUGGGGUAAGAAAUAGGGCCCUGCCCUGUGAUGUACAGUCCCAUUCCACAACGUUGGAGAUGAAGCUGGGCUUUGAGUCUGCGCCUGCAUAUUCCGACGGCUUCUCAGAGUCCUCUGGACGAUGACUGAGGAGACAAACCGUGUCUUAAAU